rnacentral:rRNA from 1 species
GCGUUGUCCGGAUUUAUUGGGUUUAAAGGGUGCGUAGGCGGCCUUAUAAGUCAGUGGUGAAACCCUUGGGCUUAACCCAAGGAGUGCCAUUGAUACUGUGAGGCUUGGGUUAUCUCUGGGCGGGCGGAAUGGAUGGUGUAGCGGUGAAAUGCAUAGAUAUCAACCAGAACGCCGACAGCGAAGGCAGCUCGCUGGGGAUAUACCGACGCUGAGGCACGAUAGCGUG